UUUCUCCCGCGGGUCCGCCGACCCCCGACCAAGCGCUGUGCUCGGAGCCCCGGGGCCGAGGCUCCAACAAGCGCGACCCGGACGUUCCGGGAGAGUCACCGUCGGGGACGCACCGAGAGGCCUUGUGGGGGUAGCGGGUGCGCCGAGGGCGGGGCUGCUUCUGCACCGACGGGCGGGCGCGGGGUGCGUGGGAUGCGCGGGGCCCCCGGGAUGCGCGGGGUCCCCGAGGCGCCGGGCCCGGGUGCGGCCGGGAGCGGCCCCAGCGCAGAGAGGCUCCGCAGGGGCGGGCCGCGGGCAGGCGGGCUGAGCGCGCUGCUGGAGCCGUUUCCGAAUAAUCUUUUUAAACAUUUGCUCGCUCGUUACUUUAACAGAGAUGCUGACCCGGGAGUGGUGGCGGGUGGAGAGGCUUGGAGGAAGGACCAGCCUCUCUGAAGGCCGCCGGGGAGGCCUCGGGUUUGCACCCAGUCGGCGGACAGAGGGUCCCUUGGGGCCUUCCUUGGAGGCGGCGGGGCAGCCUUCCCGGGGGCCUGGCCUCCUCCCCAGACGGCCCAGGACAACGUGUCUUCCCCCCACACCUGCUGCUCCUUCUGCAAAGUCCGUCUUUCUCCGCCUGGUUCCGUUCUGGUCAUGUUUUGUGCCCGUAGACGGGCCCCGGGACCACCGGACACCCCGACCGCCGACCACGUGCCCGGGUCCAGAGGUGGGGCUGGCCUUGCAGUAGGGCUUGGCGCACAGUGGGCGCUGAAGGGUGACUCUUGUUAUUAUUAUUACAGGAAGUUGAUAGCUUACGACAUUCUUCAGUUGAGAAGCUGCAGGAGAAAAACUAUGCCCUUUCCCCAGAACUUGAAAGGAAAAAAAAUCUAUACUGAAGUAUUAGCUGUUGUUCCGGAGCCUGUCUGGGUACACUUGAGCUUGUUCCUCUGUGUGAAAAACAGUAUGUUUUGACUUAAGCUGGUGGGUAGUUAAGCAGCUUCAUGCCGCCACAUCUUGAAAGCCUUGUGUGUAUUGGUUGGGCGCAUUCACGAUUUUGUUCCCCACUGUGUGUGCAAGAAGGAACAAGGUUUUCUCUUUGGCAACGUGGGAUGGAUUCCUGUGCGUGACAUUUCCAGUGACACGGGGGAGCAUCAACCCAGAAAGAAACGGGUUUAUUUUGUAACUGAAAUCUCAACUCUGUGGUAGAUUCCAGAAGCCCUCAAACCUAGGUGAGUUUUGCUCAAAGACUGUGAAAAGCAAACCUUCUGAAAUAAGAGGUAAUUGUUUAAAUCCCCGUUUGUCUUUCUUCUUCUCCCCCUAGUCUGGUGAUGUGGACCAGAAGCUUCUCCAUCCUAUUGAAUUGAAUCUCUGAGAUAAUCAUGUGGUCAAGCUUUCGGUCAACACACAACAAAGAGCCACGGCUACACAGUGACACUGUGAUGAGGGGCUGAUGGACCACAUUUUGGUGACCUGCAGGGAACUGGGAGCAGGAAGCAAAAAAGGUGACCGCGGUCCCGACCAAAACCGAUAGCACAGCCUGGCCCGGCCCAGCCGAAGCCCGCAGCAUAGAAAUGAAACCGUGUUUCCUGCAGAUGCCACAGCCUGUUAGGCAACGGAAAACGGAGACACGCAGGUUCCUGAAAGGCAGCUUUACGUGAAGCCCUCCUACUCCAUUGGUGGAUUUCCCCCUCUAUUGUUUUCCUCUAUGGCCAUUUCCUUAAGAAGUUAAAUGUGCACUCACCGCACGACCCAGUGGUCAGACUCUCAGAACGGAAAUGUGUCUCCACGGAGACUUGCGCACCAAUGUUCGUAUCAGCCCCAAACAGCAAACCGUUUGUGCUGGUUAGCUGUGCGUGUCAACUUGGCAGGCCACGCACGGGGUGCCCAGGUAUCUGGCCAAACGUGAUCGCGGGUGUGUCUGGGAAGGUGCUUCUGGAUGAGAUGAACAGUGGAGCUGCAAGCCUCCUGAGGGUGGGCCCCAUCCGAGCAGCUGAAGGCCUGACCACAAUAAAAAGGCUGACCCCCCCCAUGAAGAAGAGAGAAUUCUCCUGCCCGACGGCUCUGCUCUGGGACAUUGUGUUUUUCCUGCCUUUAGUCUCGGACGGAAUCAUUGGCUCCUCUUGGGUCUCAAACCUACUGGCCUUUGGACUGGAGUUUACGCGACGGGCUCCCGGGGCCCCCAGCCUGUCGACCGCAGACCUCGGGGGUCAUCAGCCUCUACAGCCAUGGGAGGCAGUUCCUCAGCAUACACCCCCAUGCCGCCCAGAGGGUUCACUAACGGGAGAAUGGACGAAUCCUGGAAUUCUCAGCAAUAAAAAGGCAUAAACUACCGAGACAGCAACAACAGACAUGAAUCUUGAGAGCCCUGUGUGGAGUGAAAAAGACACAGAUGAGUUCAUACUGUGUUUCCAUUUGUGAAAUUCCAGAGAAGACGGAUCUGUGACGCUGGAAGGCAGCCUGGCGGUGCUGAUGAAGGGGAGGUGACCUGAGGAGACGUGAUGGGCACGGCCCCAGUGGCGGUGGCACUUUGGCGCACGCAGGGCAAACGCGAAUUCUGUCUCAGUAGAGCUGGUUUUACAGAAAGAAUCAGCCGGCCUGGUGGGGAGUGACCUUCUCUGAAACCAUGUCCUUCGCUGCCCCGGCCUGUGUCAGAGGACGUUUAGACAGUUGAGCAGAAACCAAGUUGGGCGCAGCCCACCGGAAGCACAGGGGGCCGGGGCGGGCGUGUCCCUCCUGCUGCUGUCCCUUCCAGGCGGGGAUGCUGGCCCUGCCCAUUCCCCUGCCCCUCCCUCACCCCGUGGGGGGCCUGACGAGGCAGAGGCUGGGCUGGAACAGAGCGUGGGGUGUCCCUGGCCCUCGGGCCUCCAGCCGGCCUCACCCUCAGUCUCACGAUGCCUGGAGGUCUGGGCCGAGCCGGCUCCCACAUUCAACACGAUCCGGAGGCCACGGAUCACUUCUCACCAGGGAAAGCUUCCCAAGACAGAGCUUAGAGGGCACGAAGAGCAAACUGAAGUCUCACGAGGCCUGGAACACAGGUGAACGGGGAAGAACUCUUUCAACUUUAGCUGGAUUUGCCCAACGGGUCGGUUCCAAAUGUGUGCGAGGAUUCUCGGCAGCUGUUCCGCGUCUCAUCCGAACCAGCCCCAUCUGGCUAGUAGAGGCGGUCCUAGGAGAUCUGGUUGUGCCGCCCAGGCUGGGUGGUGACUUUGCUGCUGCAGUUAAAGAAUCAGUUUCUUAACCACGCCUUCAGCCAUGUUAACACCACUCCCUAGAUUUGAGAACUCAUUAAAAGAGAAACGCUUGAUCAUAGAAGCAAUAACCAGAAGUUUGUCCAAUGUACUGAGAAUUCAUUUUAAAUGGAAAUGUGUUUUCUUGCUGAGGACUUUGGGGGGUGCCUCAGGGUGUGAAGGAGCCAGUGCCCAGCUGACGUACACGAUGUUCCCUGCGGGCUCAGAGCGCCCCUCUCGGUGCUGGAGAGAAGGUGCUCUGUGACCUGGGGCGGGUGACUUGGCGUCUCUGUGCCUCAGCUUUUGCCCAUGAGAAGGAGGUGGCGAUGGGAGCCUCCCACACACACACACAGGCUGCUGCAAAGGACGAGGGCAGAGAACACACCAGCUGUGAGGGGCAUGAUUCAUAUUUUGCUUUUGGUCUAAUUUGCAGCUUUUGCCUUUGACGACACUAUUUGCCUUGUGUGGUUGUUGUGAGGAUUAAAUGAGAUGGUUUAUGUAAACUGUCUGAUAAGUUCAAUAAAUCAAAGUUAUUUAUUUUGGAAGUUUAUAGCUAAGUAUGUAAUUGUAAAAAUUAUUAAUGUUGGAUGAUCCCUUUAAACCUAAAGUUAUGUAUUAUUUGCCUGCUUUCAUUUGGAUGCAGCCGUUUCACGCGUUCUCUGGGUGUCGAUCUCAGCACAACCCCAUGAAGUGAAAACCCUGACCCCAGGCAGCCACUAAUCUGCCUUCUGUCAGUGUCAGUGUCACAUCUUGUAUAUCGGAUAUUUAAUGUGUCGGUAAUCUUUAGGAGAAUCUGGCAUAUUAGGGAGUCUGACAAAAUAGGUUUGUAAUUUCUAUGUAAAGUGUAUAAUCAAGUGUAGACUUGUAAUUUUUUUUAACAUCUUUAUUGGCAUAUAAUUGCUUUAUAGUGUUGGGUUAGUUUCUGCUGUAUAACAAAGUGAAUCAGCCAUACGUAUACAUACAUCCCCAUAUCCCCUCCCUCUUGCGUCUCCCUCCCUCCCUCCCUAUCCCACCCCUCUAGGUGGUCACAGAGCACCGAGCUGAUCUCCCUGUGCUGUGCGGCUGCUUCCCACUAGCUAUCUAUUUUACAUUUGGUAGUGUAUAUAUGUCCAUGCCACUCUCUCACUUCGUCCCAGCUUACCCUUCCCCCUCCCU